ACACGACUACAUUAGAUACCCGUGUAGUCCUAGCCGUAAACGAUACUCGGCUAGGUGUCGGCCACGGUGCGACCGUUGUCGGUGCCGUAGGGAAGCCGUGAAGCGAGCCACCUGGGAAGUACGGCCGCAAGGCUGAAACUUAAAGGAAUUGGCGGGGGAGCACAACAACGGGUGGAGCUUGCGGUUUAAUUGGAUUCAACGCCGGAAAUCUUACCGGGACCGACAGCAACAUGAAGGCCAAGCUGAAGACUUUGCCGGAUUAGCUG
rnacentral:rRNA from 1 species